rnacentral:rRNA from 1 species
AUUGAACGCUGGCGGCAGGCCUAACACAUGCAAGUCGAACGAGUGGCGGACGGGUGAGUAAUGUCUGGGAAACUGCCCGAUGGAGGGGGAUAACUACUGGAAACGGUAGCUAAUACCGCAUACCAUCGGAUGUGCCCAGAUGGGAUUAGCUAGUAGGUGGGGUAACGGCUCACCUAGGCGACGAUCCCUAGCUGGUCUGAGAGGAUGACCAGCCACACUGUAACUGAGACACGGUCCAGACUCCUACGUGAGACAGCAGUGGGGAAUAUUUCAAAAGGGGCGCAAGCCUGAUGCAGCCAUGCCGCGUGUAUGAAGAAGGGCUUGGGGUUGUAAAGUACUUUCAGCGAGGAGGCGUUACUCGCAGAAGAAGCACCGGCUAACUCCGUGCCAGCAGCCACGGUUAAUC